CAACGGGAACGAACAGAUUGCACCUGAUCGGAAUACCUCGAAUCCGGAACACCCGCGUGCUUGCGAUAAAACAAGUGGCUCGGUUGUGUUUAGCAGAGCAAAGUGACCAGGUGAUCAGCAAAGGGUGAUCGGGCUGCCAAGUUGCCUCGGCCUCUUGCGGGGGCGGGCGGAUUUUCGCGGGCGACAGCGUUGCAGGAAAUACAAUAGACGAUUGUGGAAAUUUACACACAGCUAAUUGGAACCAGUGACCUUAGUAGCCGAGUAGUGGCAGAGGGCUAUAUACUCGGAUAAUCUUCCAAAAGCCCGGGAAGCAGGAUUGAAUAGCCGUUCAUCCUUACAGAAGAAGAAGAAGAAUCAAUGUAUCGUAGAGUGAAUCAAAGGGCGAGGCCGGGGCCUAGGCCGAGGGCGAGCCCUAGACCGAGGCCUAGGCAUGACGAACAACAAGUAGAGGAAUUACAUGUUAGAACCCUUCAAGAAGAACUGGAAAGAGCGCUGGGCGAGCUGGAGGAGCUGCAAAACGGCGUUUGUGCGCGGUGCAGAACCAACGAGGAUCGGGCCGCAACGCUGAGAACGGAUAACAUCGAUUUAAGGGAGGAAAAUUGCCUUCUUAAAGAAGAUAAGGAGCGACUAGAACAGGAGAAUAGAGAGCUCCGGGCACAGCUGAAGGCACGAGCAUCAUCCCCGCGAAGCCCGAUUAAUAUUAGCUAGAAAGUAUCUAUCACUAUUUUCCGUAGAUAGCAUACACUUCUUUGAGAGCCAUACCGUAUCAAACCGCUACCGUACCGUACCGCUCACUAUCUUCCCUCCGGUUUUGAAAUCGCGGAUAACGCCACGUGGUAAAUCGUGGUGGUGCAAGAAAUACUUCAAAGAUUCGUGCUUUGGUAGGUCUUUUAGUGCCCAGCUUGAACUUAUGAAUUAAAUGGGAAUUUUCAUACUGAUCUACACUCAAAUUGCCUUACGCCCCAAAUCUAUUCACAUCUUCCAAAAUGUGUAAAUGAGAAUGUUUCUUAAUCGUAUUACGCUUGCCGGUGUAUUUCGAUA